AAGUCGUGCGCGAAAGGGUAGCAAUACCUGAGUAAAGCGGCGAACGGGUGAGUAACACGUGGUUAACCUGCCGGAAUGUGGGGGAUACCCCGGGGAAACUCGGGACAAUACCGCAUGAGGUCUCCUGGGCUUGGGCCCGGGAGAGCAAAGCCGGGGAUCGUAAGACCUGGCGCAAUCCGAGGGGACCGCGGCCGAUUAGCUAGUUGGCGGGGUAAUGGCCCACCAAGGCAACGAUCGGUAGCCGGCCUGAGAGGGUGAUCGGCCACACCGGAACUGAGACACGGUCCGGACUCCUACGGGAGGCAGCAGUGGGGAAUUUUGCGCAAUGGGCGAAAGCCUGACGCAGCAACGCCGCGUGGAGGAUGAAGGUUCUCUGAAUCGUAAACUCCUGUCGGCCGGGAAGAAUGGUCGGGGCCCUAAUCAACCCCGAUUUGACUGUACCGGCAAAGGAAGCCCCGGCUAACUCCGUGCCAGCAGCCGCGGUAAUACGGGGGGGGCAAGCGUUACUCGGAAUUAUUGGGCGUAAAGGGCGCGUAGGCGGCCGUGUGCGUCAGAGGUGAAAUCCCCGGGCUUAACCCGGGAACUGCCUCUGAUACGGCAUGGCUUGAGUCCGGGGGAGGGGAGCAGAAUUCCCAGUGUAGCGGUGAAAUGCGUAGAUAUUGGGAGGAAUACCGGUGGCGAAGGCGGCUCCCUGGACCGGUACUGACGCUGAGGCGCGAAAGCGUGGGUAGCAAACAGGAUUAGAUACCCUGGUAGUCCACGCCGUAAACGAUGGGUGCUUGGUGUCGGGGGUAUCGACCCCUCCGGUGCCGAAGCUAACGCAUUAAGCACCCCGCCUGGGG
rnacentral:rRNA from 1 species